GUGGGCCCAGUCUCUAGGGUGGGCUGCCUGCCCUGGCUGAGCUGGAUUAAAUCGGUGCUCUAGCGGGUGGGGCAGACCCUGGGCUAGCAGGCCUCCGGGAGAACUCCAAUGGCGCCUGUGUCAGCACGUCCACACCAGGCCACAACAAUGGCUGCCGCCAAUGUCCCAGUCCCUGGAGAGGUCUCACCUCUCACCGAGAUGCACACAGGGCCUAUCAGAGGAUUCUGUAGACUAGAGAUCAGCUGAAUCUGCCUCUAGAAGAUGGUUGCAGCUGCCUUAAGAUAACUCUUCACCCAAGGUGCUCGUCCAAGUGCCUCAAGGAUGGAGGGCCCGGCCUCCCGAGCCUACAGAACGAUUGUAUGACUGUUUUUGUGUCUUUUUCUACAAAGACUUGGAAUUUGUGGAAGAAUUCCACCAGAGGCAGCAUUCAUUGUGAGAUGGUCCAGAGGAGAACUAGGAACUAGAGCUGACUCACCACAAGCAUGAGAGACCUGGACUUAGGCAAAAGAAUUGGACAAUUGUGAAUGACCAAAUGCCUUAGGGCCACACCCUGAGGACUUUUCUCAGCACAGUUUUCUAGAUCCAUUACAGCCCAUUGAAUAAAGGAAAAUGAUAACACCACC